CAGGGACAGGUCAGGUCAGGCAGUGGUCCUGAUCACAUUAGGGAUCGCUGUCCAUCUCUGUUUCCUGUCCCCAGGUGAGUGUCCAUGUGACCCCAGUGGAGGGCCUGUGCAUGGCUGGUGGUGGAAUGAUGGCCCAGUGGGUGAUAGUGCCUGCAGGCUCUGCCCUGCCUGUGGCCUUCUCUGUGGUACCCACAGCUUCUACCAACGUGCCCCUGAAAUUGGUGGCUAAAGGGACUUUGGAUUCAAGCGAUUCUGUGUCUAAGAUUCUCCAAAUUGAGAAGGAAGGAGCCAUCCACAGAGAAGAGAUAGUCUACAACCUCGACCCCCUAAAUAACCUAGGUCAGAUGUUGGAGAUACCUGGCAGCUCGGAUCCCAACAUAGUCCCUGAAGGAGACUUCAGCAC
rnacentral:lncRNA from 1 species